UACGGAGGGUGCAAGCGUUAUCCGGAUUCACUGGGUUUAAAGGGUGCGUAGGUGGAUUGGUAAGUCCGUGGUGAAAUCCCCGAGCUUAACUCGGGAACUGCCGUGGAUACUAUCAAUCUUGAAUACUGUGGAGGUAAGCGGAAUAUGUCAUGUAGCGGUGAAAUGCUUAGAUAUGACAUAGAACACCGAUAGCGAAGGCAGCUUGCUACACAGUUAUUGACACUGAGGCACGAAAGCGUGGGGAGCAAACAGG
rnacentral:rRNA from 1 species